UACGUAGGGGGCAAGCGUUGUCCGGAUUUAUUGGGCGUAAAGAGCGUGUAGGCGGCCAGAUAGGUCUGCUGUGAAAACUCGAGGCUCAACCUCGAGAUGUCGGCGGAAACCAUUUGGCUAGAGUCCGGAAGAGGAAAGUGGAAUUCCUGGUGUAGCGGUGGAAUGCGUAGAGAUCCGGAAGAACACCGGUGGCGAAGGCGGCCUGCUGGGCAGUUUUGCUGACACUGAGGCGCGACAGCGUGGGGAGCAAACAGG
rnacentral:rRNA from 1 species